UCUAUCUUUCCCAGCAUCAAGGUCUUUUCCAGUGAAUCAGUUCUUCACUAUCAAGGGCCAAAGUAUUGGAGCUUUGGCUUGAGCAUCAGUCCUUCCAAUGAAUAUUCAGGGUUGAUUUCCUGAAUAUUUGGAGUGCUCUGUAGAGGGUUUUAUUAUGAAGGGCUCUCAACACCCACUUGCUCCCUGGGGUUUCCUCCUCACAAGUGCUCUGUGGAGCUGCAUCUCCCUGGCAACACCCUUCUUUGUUACCC